GAGGAAGCUUUAUACUGGCUCAGUGUUCAGUACCUCAAAGAGGAAGCUUUAUACUGGCUCAGUGUUCAGUGCCUCACUAACUCAGAGAUGAAGCUUUAUACUGGCUCAGUGUUCAGUACCUCAGAGAUGAAGCUUCAUACUGGCUCAGUGUUCAGUACCUCACUAGCUCAGAGAUGAAGCUUUAUACUGGCUCAGUGUUCAGUACCUCAGAGAUGAAGCUUUAUACUGGCUCAGUGUUCAGUACCUCAGAGAGGAAGAUAUAUACAGGGUCACUGCCAGUACCACAUUUACAAUGUGCAGGGGUAAUGGAGUAUUGAGGUAGAUAUGGACAUGUUGUCAAGGAUACUGGAACAUUGAGGUAGAUAGGGACAUAUAUGCAGGGAUACUGGAGUAUUGAGGUAGAUAGGGACAUAUAUGCAGGGAUACUGGAGUAUUGAGGUAGAUAUGGACAUAUAUGCAGGGAUACUGGAGUAUUGAGGUAGAUAUGGACAUAUAGGCAGGGAUACUGGAGUAUUGAGGUAGAUAUGGACAUAUAGGCAGGGAUACUGGAGUAUUGAGGUAGAUAUGGACAUAGGCAGGGAUACUGGAGUAUUGAGGUAGAUAUGGACAUAUAGGCAGGGAUACUGGAGUAUUGAGGUAGAUAUGGACAUAUAGGCAGGGAUACUGGAGUAUAAAGGGAUUUCUUGAAAGUGACUGGUAGCAGAAAAUAAUGACUGGUAUAUAAAUAAUAAUAUUAAUAAUGUUAAUAAUAAUAUUAUUAUGAAUAAUGAUAAUGAUAAUAUGUAAUAAUGAUAAUGACAAUAAUAAUAAUGAUAAUAACACCAAUGAUCAUAAUAAUAAUAAUAUUAUGAAUAAUAAUAAUGAUAAUAUUAUUAAUAAUACAAUAAUAAUAUAAAUAAUAAUAAUGAUAAUAUAUUAAUAAUAAUGCUGACAAUAAUGAUAAUAUAACGAUAAUAAUGAUAAUAUCAAUAAUAAUUAUGAUAAUAAUAAUGAACAUAUAAUGAUAAUAUUAAUAAUAAUUAUGAUAAUAAUAAUAAUGGUAAUAUAACGAUAAUAAUGAUG
ensembl:lncRNA